rnacentral:tmRNA from 1 species
GGGGCUGCCUUGGUUUCGACAUUUAAGAAUGAGAAAAAUGUGAUGCAGGUCGAAGCUUGUAUUCUUCGUAAAAAUCUACAAACUAAUUAAUAAAUGCUAAUAAUAUCAUAUCUUUUAACUUUAAACGUUUAACUCUAAACAAUACGAAAUCUUCAAAUAAUUUAGCUUUUGCUACUGCUUAGAAAAUAUAUUAUUUAAUUUAAAAAUUUGUCCACUAUUACUAGACGUUUUUUUGUCUUUAGUUUAGAAUAAUUAUAACAAUCUGUUCUAUUAUUGAACUAUACCUGUGAAUGAGCGUUUUUUUCAGAUUUAGAUGGACGUGGGUUCAAAUCCCAUCAGCUCCA